CUCAGGUGUUGUUGGGUAGGGGAGCGUUCUGUAAGCCUGUGAAGGUGUGUCGUGAGGCAUGCUGGAGGUAUCAGAAGUGCGAAUGCUGACAUAAGUAACGAUAAAGCGGGUGAAAAGCCCGCUCGCCGGAAGACCAAGGGUUCCUGUCCAACGUUAAUCGGGGCAGGGUGAGUCGACCCCUAAGGCGAGGCCGAAAGGCGUAGUCGAUGGGAAACGGGUUAAUAUUCCCGUACUUGGUGUUACUGCGAAGGGGGGACGGAGAAGGCUAUGUUGGCCGGGCGACGGUUGUCCCGGUUUAAGCGUGUAGGCUGGUUUUCCAGGCAAAUCCGGAAAAUCAAGGCUGAGGCGUGACGACGAGGCACUACGGUGCUGAAGCAACAAAUGCCCUGCUUCCAGGAAAAGCCUCUAAGCAUCAGGUAACAUCAAAUCGUACCCCAAACCGACACAGGUGGUCAGGUAGAGAAUACCAAGGCGCUUGAGAGAACUCGGGUGAAGGAACUAGGCAAAAUGGUGCCGUAACUUCGGGAGAAGGCACGCUGACACGUAGGUGAAGUGAUUUACUCAUGGAGCUGAAGUCAGUCGAAGAUACCAGCUGGCUGCAACUGUUUAUUAAAAACACAGCACUGUGCAAACACGAAAGUGGACGUAUACGGUGUGACGCCUGCCCGGUGCCGGAAGGUUAAUUGAUGGGGUCAGCGCAAGCGAAGCUCCUGAUCGAAGCCCCGGUAAACGGCGGCCGUAACUAUAACGGUCCUAAGGUAGCGAAAUUCCUUGUCGGGUAAGUUCCGACCUGCACGAAUGGCGUAAUGAUGGCCAGGCUGUCUCCACCCGAGACUCAGUGAAAUUGAACUCGCUGUGAAGAUGCAGUGUACCCGCGGCAAGACGGAAAGACCCCGUGAACCUUUACUAUAGCUUGACACUGAACAUUGAGCCUUGAUGUGUAG
rnacentral:rRNA from 1 species